rnacentral:lncRNA from 1 species
CCGCGGCCCCCGCCUCCCAGCACCGGCUGAGUUCCCCCGGCCGCUCCGGGAGGUGGCAGCUUGCGCGCGCCAAGUGCUGCGGCAGGAAAGGAGGCUCCGGAGCACACCCGCCGCCUUUGCCCGCUGGGCGACGCUGCUCAGAGUGAGCGAUCGCCUGGGGUUCCAGGCGGGGACGCCUUUCUGCCAUCUCGAAUUUACGAUGAUUAAACACCUGCAAGCUGCCACUGUUCUUCAGAUAUCUUGGAUCACUCCGAGCACGCAUUUCGGUUAUGAAAGCAAAAAGGAAAAGGAGCAACCCAAAGCCUAAAGGAAACUAUUUUCGGCCGGGCAUGGUGGCUCAUCCCAGCACUUUGGGAGUUCGAGGAUUCCCUCCAAGAUAUUACGUUAAUUACAAUCAAGCAAGAUAUUCAAAAGUUGCGGCCGGUGGAUGCAACCCAGAUGCCUAUCUACAGAUGAAUGGGUAAAGAAAGUGCAGUCUACAAUGGAAUAUUAUUCAGCCUUAAAAAUGAAGGAAAUCUCGUCACAUGCUACAACACGGAUGAAUCCUGAGGACUUUUGUUAAAUGAGAUAAGCUAGUCACAAAAAGAAAGAUACUGUACAAUUCCACUUACAUGAUGUAUCUAGAGUACUCAAAUGUGCAGAAACAAAAAGUAGAAUGGUUGUUGCCAGGGGCUGGGGGAGGAGAACAGGGAGUUGUUGUUUAAUGGGUACAGAGUUUUAGUUUCGCAAGAUGAAAAAGUUCUGGAGCUUUGUUUCACAACAAUGUGAAAUAUUCUUAACCUUACUGAGCUGUACAACAAGAAAUGGUUAAGAUGGUAAUGUUUGUUUCUACCAGAAUAAAAAAUAAUUGCCUCUAUACGUUUUAAACUUGUAUUUAUUUUGAAAUAAUUCAGACAUGCAGAAAGUUGCAAGAACAGUACAAAGAGUUCUUUGUAUAGAGGUUGUUUUCUAUUCCCUUCAUCCAAAUUCCCCAACGGUUAACAUUGU